rnacentral:rRNA from 1 species
AGAGUUUGAUCAUGGCUCAGGACGAACGCUGGCGGCGCGCCUAACACAUGCAAGUCGAACGGAGCUUAGAGAGCUUGCUUUUUAAGCUUAGUGGCGAACGGGUGAGUAACGCGUGAGUAACCUGCCCUAGAGUGGGGGACAACAGUUGGAAACGACUGCUAAUACCGCAUAAGCCCACGGUACCGCAUGGUACUGAGGGAAAAGGAUUUAUUCGCUUUAGGAUGGACUCGCGUCCAAUUAGCUAGUUGGUGAGGUAACGGCCCACCAAGGCGACGAUUGGUAGCCGGACUGAGAGGUUGAACGGCCACAUUGGGACUGAGACACGGCCCAGACUCCUACGGGAGGCAGCAGUGGGGGAUAUUGCACAAUGGGGGAAACCCUGAUGCAGCGACGCCGCGUGGAGGAAGAAGGUUUUCGGAUUGUAAACUCCUGUCGUUAGGGACGAUAAUGACGGUACCUAACAAGAAAGCACCGGCUAACUACGUGCCAGCAGCCGCGGUAAAACGUAGGGUACAAGCGUUGUCCGGAAUUACUGGGUGUAAAGGGAGCGCAGGCGGGAAGACAAGUUGGAAGUGAAAACCAUGGGCUCAACCCAUGAAUUGCUUUCAAAACUGUUUUUCUUGAGUAGUGCAGAGGUAGAUGGAAUUCCCGGUGUAGCGGUGGAAUGCGUAGAUAUCGGGAGGAACACCAGUGGCGAAGGCGGUCUACUAGGCACCAACUGACGCUGAGGCUCGAAAGCAUGGGUAGCAAACAGGAUUAGAUACCCUGGUAGU